rnacentral:rRNA from 1 species
GUUGAAGCGCGGGUAAGACCGCGUGGAGGACCGAACCCACCUGGGUUGAAAACCGGGGGGAUGACUUGGGGCUAGGGGUGAAAGGCCAAUCAAAUUCCGUGAUAGCUGGUUCUCUCCGAAAUGCAUUUGGGUGCAGCGUCGGGUCAUUACGUCCCGGGGGUAGAGCUACUGGAUGCUUGCGGGCCCGUAUCGGGUACCAACAGCAACCAAACUCCGAAUACCGGUGACGCGUAUCCCGGCAGUGAGUCGGCGGGGGAUAAGCUUCGUCGUCGAAAGGGAAACAGCCCAGACCGUCGUCUAAGGUCCCGAAGCGUGUGCUAAGUGGGAAAGGAUGUGGAGUCGCAUAGACAGCCAGGAGGUUGGCUCAGAAGCAGCCACCCUUGAAAGAGUGCGUAACAGCUCACUGGUCUAGUGGUUCCGCGCCGACAAUGUAGCGGGGCUCAAGCACACCACCGAAGACGCGGCAGUAUUUUGUACUGGGUAGGAGAGCGUCCCAUGAGGGGCGAAGCGGCCGUGUGAACGCGCCGUGGACUUCAUGGGAGUGAGAAUGCAGACAUGAGUAGCGAGAGACGGGUGAAGAUCCCGUCCGCUGGAUGACCAAGGGUUCCAGGGCCACGUUCAUCGUCCCUGGGUGAGUCGGGUCCUAAGGCGAGGCCGACAGGCGUAGUCGAAUGGAUGAACGGGUCGAUAUUCCCGUACCGGCUUUCAGCCGCCAAAACCGAGGCUUGGAGUACUAACCUCCGGGUCCGGGCUUACUGCUCCUUCGGGGGCGGGAUGCCUUGGCCUGUUGGGACCGAUCCUUGUAGUAGGUCAGCGCAGGAGUGACGCAGAAGGGUAGCCGGCCGCGGAGGUGGUCUUCCGUGGUCAAGCACGCAGGGCGUGGGACAGGCAAAUCCGUCCCGCAUGGGUCCGAGGUGCGAUGAUGGGGGCCUUAUGGCCCGAUAUCCGGUGAUCCCGGCUGCCGAGAAAAGCUUCGGCGUCAGGCUCGAAGCCGCCCGUACCCCAAACCGACACUGGUGGUCAGGUAGAGAAUACCAAAGCGAUCGAGCGAAUCCUGGUCAAGGAACUCGGCAAAUCACUCCCGUUCCUUCGGUUUAAGGGAGACCCCCGAUGGUGAACCGCCUCGCGCGGGGAGCUUUUGGGGGUGGCACAGACCAGGGGGUAGCGACUGUUUACCAAAAACACAGGUGCAUGCGAAGGCGCAAGCCGCUGUAUAUGCACUGACGCCUGCCCGGUGCCGGAAGGUUAAGAGGAUCCGUCAGCCUUCGGGUGAAGCGGUGAAUUCAAGCCCCGGUAAACGGCGGUGGUAACUAUAACCAUCCUAAGGUAGCGAAAUUCCUUGUCGGGUAAGUUCCGACCUGCACGAAUGGCGUAACGACUUCCCCACUGUCUCGACCAGGAGCUCGGCGAAAUUGCAGUACGAGUAAAGAUGCUCGUUAAGCGCAGAAGGACGAAAAGACCCCGGGACCUUUACUAUACCUUGGUAUUGGCAUUCGGUGUGGAUUGUGUAGCAUAGGCGGGAGGCCGAGAGGCGCGGUCGCCAGAUCGCGCGGAGCCGUAAGGUGAAAUACCGCUCUGUUCGCAUUGGAUGUCUAACCUCGAACAGUCAUCCUGUUCAGGGACAGUGCCUGGCGGGUAGUUUAACUGGGGCGGUUGCCUCCCAAAGAGUAACGGAGGCGCCCAAAGGUCCGCUCAGCCCGGUUGGCAAUCGGGUGGCGAGUGCAAGUGCACAAGCGGGCUUGACUGCGAGGACGACGGUCCGAGCAGGGACGAAAGUCGGGACUAGUGAUCCGGUGCCGGUGUACGGACGCGGCAUCGCUCAACGGAUAAAAGGUACCCCGGGGAUAACAGGCUGAUCAUUCCCAAGAGUCCAUAUCGACGGGAUGGUUUGGCACCUCGAUGUCGGCUCGUCGCAUCCUGGGGCUGGAGCAGGUCCCAAGGGUUCGGCUGUUCGCCGAUUAAAGCGGCACGCGAGCUGGGUUCAGAACGUCGUGAGACAGUUUGGUCUCUAUCCUCUGCGCUCGUUGGAAUGCUGAGGAGGCCUGCCCAUAGUACGAGAGGACCUGGGUGGACGAACCUCUGGUAUGCCGGUUGUCACGCCAGUGGCACGGCCGGUUGGCUACGUUCGGAAGGGAUAACCGCUGAAAGCAUCUAAGCGGGAAGCCUGCUCCAAGAUAAGCAUUCCGUGGAACCUUCGAGUUCCUGUAGUCCCCAUGCAGAACACGUGGUCGAUAGGCCGGACGUGGAAGCCCCGCGAGGGGUGGAGCCGACCGGUACUAACGGACGAAAGGCAACACUA